rnacentral:lncRNA from 1 species
UGCCAUCAACACAUCUAAAGAAGCCCACUUGAACACAAAAGUCUGUUCAAAUACCAACAUAAUAGAUAAAUGCAUCUAUAUGAAAGAUUGUAAAGUACGGUCAUGACAAUAGUUGGCAACAGGACAUGCGUAGAUUAAAAUCAAAACUCUCUUCUUUUAGGGCGGCCUGUUGUUCUGCAAUUAGCAAACCACAAGAAGACAAUCAAUUGCCACCUAAUGCUAGAGAACUGUACUGGACCAGGGAUGUGUCAGAUGAACAAACCUUAGCUCCCAAGAUUUGAAAUUGCCUGGCUCUUCCCCUGCAGCCCCUCUCCGUUCAUCAAGAGGCCUGUUGAAUUAGGUCUCUGCUCUUACUGAAAUCUAGUGAAAAAACAAAAGGUAUCAAAUAAUAUACUUCGUGAGAUUGUAUUCAGGAUGCAGAAGCUACAUGAUAUGACCAGCUAGCAGUUUUAAUUUACAGUAAGCAAAGAACCGUUGAUUGAUUGAAACAAAUUUCAAACUUUAAUAACAAUCCAACAUUAAAGUAUUCCUUAUUUCUUUACUCAAAUCUUAAUGUGUUGGAUCAUCAAAAUCACAUAUUGGUGAGAUACCAUCAAAUCAUCAGAGGAAUCAGGAAUGCAGAUCACAGAGGACAGGAGAUGAGAGGUGAGAUUACCUUACUGCUUGGGGAAGCCAUCGACAGAGGAGAGGAGGAGCAGUAGCAACAAGCUUGGGCCAGAGGACGGCGUCGUCGGUGAACUCGGGGGCGGGGGCACCGGCUGCU